GCCUUCGUGAUGUAACUGGAAGCACAUUCGACGCGUAAUCUAGAGGUUCAGGGUUCGAGUCCCGGCGAGGGCA
rnacentral:tRNA from 1 species